UUUGUGGAAUGACAUUCCAUGGAGACCUGGAAGCCCAGAGCUAAAAGACACCUCAGAGUUCUUUUAUAGGAGAGGAAAAUGGGGUUUUGAGAGGGGACGUGGUGGAGUGGCAGAGGCAUUUACUACUCACCACAUACCCACAUUUUCCCCGCCACUCCCCCGGCCCCUCACCGCUACGUGGGACUAGGAGUAGUCCUUAGGCUGUGAAUGGAGAUACUUCUGGGCCAAAGCACUGAAGAGCCAGUAGAUAGCUAACCUGCUCUUUUCUGUCCCUCCUGGCAUAAUCAGGGAAGCCAUGUGUUGAAAUUUGGGUCCCUAAUCAACCCUGUAGAGCAGAGCCCCUGCCAAUCUGCCGUGGUUCAGUCGUGUGAGCAAGAAAGAAACCUUUGUGGCGUGAAUCCAAGAUUUCAGAGUUAAUUUGUUAGUGCAGCACCGCAUGGCCUAUCCUGACUCACACAGCCAGUUAUUGGGUCAUGCUUUUGGCAUAAUGCUUAUACAAUCAGAGUCCCCCCAACCUGGUGGUGUGCUGGCCCCGGGGGAAAAGCUGCUUAAAGAAGAGCGAUUAUUCAAGUGAACUAACAUCCACUGAGACCUAUCACGUGCCUGGCCCCGCGUGGGCCCUGAACCUUCAUUAUCUCAGGUGCAAAAGUGAUUGCCUUCAGUAGAAACCAGACUUCGAAUUCUGAACUUGGAUCUUUUCCCAGUUUCAGUUAUCCGGGGUCAACCACGGUCCAGAAGCAGCUGACCCUCCCUCUGACACGGGAUCAGGUUGGUAGCGGCCUCACGCUACAUCACACUGCGUGUCACUCCCCUCAGCUCAGCUCAUCCCCUGGGCAUGUUAUCAUCUCACCUCAACCCGAAGAAGAGCGAAUGUGCUACUGUGAGAUAUUUCGAGAGAGAGGGAAAGGGACCUCAUUCACGUAACUUUGUUUUUUCACGUAACUUUGAUAACAGUAUGCUGUUACGGUUGUUCUAUUUUAUGGUUAGUUAUUGUUGUUCAUCUCAUA